GUAGGUGAACCUGCGGAAGGAUCAUUACAACGUAUCCACGUAUAAACAAACGCGAACAGUCCUUUGGACGCGUAAACCAGAACAAGCUGGCAUGAAGUUAACCGGUCGAACUGCUAAUUAAUGCGCUUCGUAGAUGGAGCUUUGCUUGGAACAAGUCCGAGCAGCUUGGAGCGUCAGUUCUUGGCCCGGAACAGCACUCGUGCAUUUCCGAACUUCGUUACGCCCAAAGAGUAUUUCCCACCAUCGGGAA
rnacentral:misc_RNA from 1 species